rnacentral:rRNA from 1 species
GCGUGAGUGAUGAAGGCCUUAGGGUUGUAAAGCUCUUUCGACGGGGAAGAUGAUGACGGUACCCGUAGAAGAAGCCCCGGCUAACUUCGUGCCAGCAGCCGCGGUAAUACGAAGGGGGCUAGCGUUGUUCGGAUUUACUGGGCGUAAAGGGCGCGUAGGCGGUUUUGUAAGUCAGGCGUGAAAGCCCCGGGCUCAACCCGGGAAUUGCGCUUGAUACUGCGGAACUUGAAUCCAGGAGAGGAUGGCGGAAUUCCCAGUGUAGAGGUGAAAUUCGU